GUUAUAGCGUAGGGGCCACACCCGUUCCCAUCCCGAACACGGAAGUUAAGACCUACAACGCCGAUGGUACUGUGUGGGAAACUGCAUGGGAGAGUAGGAAGCUGCCAGGG
rnacentral:rRNA from 1 species